rnacentral:misc_RNA from 1 species
AGCAGCCGCGGUAAUUCCAGCUCCAAUAGCGUAUAUUAAAGUUGUUGCAGUUAAAAAGCUCGUAGUUGAAUUUCGGGACCAAUUUGUUGGUCGUGCCUCGGUACGUACUGGUAUUAUUGGUUUCUCCCUUCUGAAGAACCAUGAUGCCAUUAAUUUGGUGUCGUGGGGAAUCAGGACUGUUACUUUGAAAAAAAUUAGAGUGUUUAAAGCAGGCAUACGCUUGAAUACAUUAGCAUGGAAUAAUGAAAUAGGACGUUUGAUUCUAUUUUUGUUGGUUUCUAGGAUCGACGUAAUGAUUAAUAGGGAUAGUUGGGGGCAUUAGUAUUCAAUUGUCAGAGGUGAAAUUCUUGGAUUUAUUGAAGACUAACUACUGCGAAAGCAUUUGCCAAGGAUGUUUUCAUUAAUCAAGAACGAAAGUUAGGGGAUCGAAGACGAUCAGAUACCGUCGUAGUCUUAACCAUAAACUAUGCCGACUAGGGAUCGGAUGAUGUUAAUUUUUUAAUGACUCAUUCGGCGCCUU